rnacentral:rRNA from 1 species
UACGUAGGGUGCAAGCGUUGUCCGGAAUUAUUGGGCGUAAAGAGCUUGUAGGCGGUUUGUCGCGUCUGCCGUGAAAGUCCGGGGCUCAACUCCGGAUCUGCGGUGGGUACGGGCAGACUAGAGUGAUGUAGGGGAGACUGGAAUUCCUGGUGUAGCGGUGAAAUGCGCAGAUAUCGGGAGGAACACCGAUGGCGAAGGCAGGUCUCUGGGCAUUAACUGACGCUGAGGAGCGAAAGCAUGGGGAGCGAACAGG